rnacentral:rRNA from 1 species
UACGUAGGCAGCAAGCGUUGUUCGGAGUUACUGGGCGUAAAGGGUGUGUAGGCGGUUCCUUAAGUUUGAUGUGAAAGCUCAGGGCUUAACCCUGAAAUGGCAUUGAAUACUACUGUGCUGGAGGUUUGGAGGGGGGACUGGAAUUCUUGGUGUAGCAGUGAAAUGCGUAGAUAUCAAGAGGAACACCAGUGGCGAAGGCGAGUCCCUGGACAACACCUGACACUGAGGCACGAAAGCUAGGGGAGCAAACAGG